GGGGCGACCAGGUGAGCGCGUACAAACACCCCGCCAGCAGCGCCUUUGCUGCUGGGCGGAUUGUCUUGCAAAUCUGCUCCCUCGGAAGAUCCGGGUGACUACUUCAGGUUUUCCUACUUUGCUGAAGAUCAAGUCCCAAAGAGGAGGUGUGAAGUCAUGGGUGUGGGAGGACACAAUGGGAUUCCCGGUUCCCUGGAGCACAGUUUCGUCCUUUGCCAAAGCCUGCACAAAAUUUCCCCAAGGAGAAGGCAUUAAGGUGAGAAUCGUUAACAAUGAAAGUUAAAAGGUGCCGGAGAACUUUGUCAAGCGCAAUGGUUGCCAUGCAGCCCAGGUCACUACUUCUUUGUAUGUCUUGGGCCUUUCGUUGUUGUUGAAAACUAAAGUACGGAAACUCUGAAAAUCAAAUGUGUUCACUUUUUCCCCCUCACCCGUUGAAGGCUAUGUUAGCAUUCAGAUACACCUGUCCCUGCCCCUGCCCCUGGAUCAGGCAGAGUGAGUCAUCUCUGCAUACAGGGCAGGCUAUGUGGCCUGCUGUGUGGUCUCUUUGUACACG